rnacentral:rRNA from 1 species
GACGAACGCUGGCGGCGUGCUUAACACAUGCAAGUCGAACGGAAAGGCCCUGCUUUUGUGGGGUGCUCGAGUGGCGAACGGGUGAGUAACACGUGAGUAACCUGCCCUUGACUUUGGGAUAACUUCAGGAAACUGGGGCUAAUACCGGAUAGGAGCUCCUGCUGCAUGGUGGGGGUUGGAAAGUUUCGGCGGUUGGGGAUGGACUCGCGGCUUAUCAGCUUGUUGGUGGGGUAGUGGCUUACCAAGGCUUUGACGGGUAGCCGGCCUGAGAGGGUGUCCGGCCACAUUGGGACUGAGAUACGGCCCAGACUCCUACGGGAGGCAGCAGUGGGGAAUAUUGCACAAUGGGCGGAAGCCUGAUGCAGCAACGCCGCGUGCGGGAUGACGACCUUCGGGUUGUAAACCGCUUUCGCCUGUGACGAAGCGUGAGUGACGGUAAUGGGUAAAGAAGCACCGGCUAACUACGUG